AUUGGGUUUAAAGGGUACGUAGGCGGAAAAAUAAGUCAGUGGUGAAAUCCUGCGGCUCAACCGUAGAACUGCCAUUGAUACUGAUAUUCUUGAAUAUAGUUGAGGUAGGCGGAAUGUGUAAUGUAGCGGUGAAAUGCUUAGAUAUUACACAGAACACCGAUUGCGAAGGCAGCUUACUAAACUAUUAUUGACGCUGAUGUACGAAAGCGUGGGGAGCGAACAGGAUUAGAUACCCUGGUAGUCCACGCUGUAAACGAUGAUCACUCGUUGUUUGCGAUAUAUUGUAAGCGACUGAGCGAAAGCAUUAAGUGAUCCACCUGGGGAGUACGUUCGCAAGAAUGAAACUCAAAGGAAUUGACGGGGGCCCGCACAAGCGGAGGAACAUGUGGUUUAAUUCGAUGAUACGCGAGGAACCUUACCUGGGCUUAAAUGUAGAUUGCAUAAUUUAGAAAUAGAUUUUCCCUUCGGGGCUAUUUACAAGGUGCUGCAUGGUUGUCGUCAGCUCGUGCCGUGAGGUGUCGGGUUAAGUCCCAUAACGAGCGCAACCCCUAUCGUUAGUUGCCAUCAGGUCAUGCUGGGGACUCUAGCGAGACUGCCACCGUAAGGUGAGAGGAAGGUGGGGAUGACGUCAAAUCAGCACGGCCCUUAUGUCCAGGGCUACACACGUGUUACAAUGGCAGGUACAAAGGGCAGCUACACAGCGAUGUGAUGCUAAUCUCUAAAGCCUGUCCCAGUUCGGAUUGGAGUCUGCAACCCGACUCCAUGAAGUUGGAUUCGCUAGUAAUCGGAUAUCAGCCAUGAUCCGGUGAAUACGUUCCCGGGCCUUGUACACACCGCCCGUCAAGCCAUGG
rnacentral:rRNA from 1 species